UUUCAGUGCGUUUUUCGCAGAUGCGAAAUUCGCAAUCCCGUUUCACAUGGAUCCACGGCAGUUGCGUUUUUCGCAUACUCGUAGCACAGGGUUUGCAAACUCGUAUAUUGUUCGGUAUAUGCUUUAGCAACUUUUUUGCUAAAUUAACCACUCUGCAAUGUUUCUAAACUAUAUAUUUACACUACUGAAAGUAUCAUUACCGUGUUUAAUAAUAAAAAAAGAAAUAAACAAAGCGAUUCAGCUGUUUUUAGCUGCAUUCUGACUGGCACGAAGGUACGGGCAACAUUGGCGAGUGCGCUUUUUGCGCGAGCGUAUCGUCUGCUACGCGCCAUUCGCGCCUGCAAGAUCGUAUCUAAAUGGCGCCCGUCAAUAAGAAGCUCCUGCUUCUUCACAAAAAAAAAAAAACUUUACUUGCUGAAGAAGGCACUCCUGCUACAACCAAACCCCCGUCGAUGGUGGGUGAGGCCGAGCUGGCAGAACAGAAAGACGGAGUCCGAGUUCUACACAACGACCCUCUUUCUGAUGACCCAUGAUCCGGAGGUGUUCCGAAAAUAUUAUCGGAUGACACCAGAGACAUUCGAAAAACUGGAUUCGUUGCUAGAAACAAGGCUUUCAAAGCAGUGGGUUUUACGGGAGCCCGUGCCCUCACGAUGCCGCCUUGCCAUCACAUUGAGAUACCUAGCAUCGGGGAUGCAAAUUCAAGAUGUUGCCAUGGCAUUUAAGGUAGGCAUAUCGACUACCAGUAACAUUGUGAAGGAAGUAUGUGCACUUCUGUGGGAUGUCCUUCGACCCAAGUGU